UGGGGAAUUUUGGACAAUGGGGGCAACCCUGAUCCAGCCAUUCCGCGUGAGUGAAGAAGGCCUUCGGGUUGUAAAGCUCUUUCAGCAGGAACGAAACGGUGGCCACUAAUACUGGCUACUAAUGACGGUACCUGAAGAAGAAGCACCGGCUAACUACGUGCCAGCAGCCGCGGUAAUACGUAGGGUGCGAGCGUUAAUCGGAAUUACUGGGCGUAAAGCGUGCGCAGGCGGUUCCAUAAGACAGAUGUGAAAUCCCCGGGCUUAACCUGGGAACUGCGUUUGUGACUGUGGGACUCGAGUGUGGCAGAGGGGGGUGGAAUUCCACGUGUAGCAGUGAAAUGCGUAGAGAUGUGGAGGAACACCGAUGGCGAAGGCAGCCCCCUGGGUCAACACUGACGCUCAUGCACGAAAGCGUGGGGAGCAAACAGG
rnacentral:rRNA from 2 species